ACGGGUGAGUAAUACAUCGGAACGUAUCCUGGAGUGGGGGAUAGCCCGGCGAAAGCCGGAUUAAUACCGCAUACGCUCUGAGGAGGAAAGCGGGGGACCUUCGGGCCUCGCGCUCAAGGGGCGGCCGAUGGCGGAUUAGGUAGUUGGUGGGGUAAAGGCCUACCAAGCCGACGAUCCGUAGCUGGUCUGAGAGGACGACCAGCCACACUGGGACUGAGACACGGCCCAGACUCCUACGGGAGGCAGCAGUGGGGAAUUUUGGACAAUGGGGGCAACCCUGAUCCAGCAAUGCCGCGUGUGUGAAGAAGGCCUUCGGGUUGUAAAGCACUUUUGUCCGGAAAGAAAUCAUCGGGGCCAAUACCCCUGGUGGAUGACGGUACCGGAAGAAUAAGCACCGGCUAACUACGUGCCAGCAGCCGCGGUAAUACGUAGGGUGCGAGCGUUAAUCGGAAUUACUGGGCGUAAAGCGUGCGCAGGCGGUGCUGUAAGACCGAUGUGAAAUCCCCGGGCUUAACCUGGGAACUGCAUUGGUGACUGCAGCACUGGAGUAUGGCAGAGGGGGGUGGAAUUCCACGU
rnacentral:rRNA from 1 species